CUCUUUCAUGUCACAGGCUAUAAAAUUCCUUUUAGGGUACAUGGAUAUAUUAUGGGAGCCCAUUUCAAUGGACUGGCAUUCAAGGGGACCAGGACAGCCCAGAGAGAGGGCUCAAAAGAAAGUAUCUUAUCAUAGCAUGUCCCAAGGAAGGUCAUUUUCUGACAAAAAUAGGCAAGUAGGGAGUGCACAGGAGGUGGAUGCAUGUGUGAUAGAGAACUCCCAGUGACCAGGAGUGUACCCACAUAUGUUCUUCCAUAUUGGGUUCUGAGUUCCCAUUAACAAUGUCCACCUACAGUGCAGGACCAUCUGUGGGCUCACCAUGAAAUGAAUGUUUAUUCCCCCCAAAAAUCACAUGUGGGAAUUGUGACCCCCAGUGCAACAGUAUUAGAGGUGGGGAUUCAGGACAUGUCAUGGGGGGGUUAGUCCGCUCAUAAACAGGAUCCUUGAGAGCUCUCUGCUUCUCUUUCCGUGACCCGAGGCUACGUGGGAAGCUGGCAGCCUGUGACCUGGGAGAGGGCCCUCAUCAGACCAUGAUGGCAGCCUCCAGAACUGUGAGACACAGAUUCCCACUGCUUAUACCCUGCCCCUGAGACAAUGCAGCUGCAGCAGCCCGAGCACCUACCCCAAGGCCAAGCCAUUCUUCUCGCACCCUCUGACCAGAUAAAGCAAAACGCCUGCCGUCCAGAUGUCUACACCCACCUGCUGACUGUGGAGCGCGUACCCCAGGGUAUAGAAAUUAGAGCAACAUGGGCACUGAUUCCAUCACCACGGCUUCCACUUGUCGUAGCUAUCAGAAAUCAAGACGCUGCUUCAGUAGCAUGUGGGACUAUUUCCAAACCAAGCGCUUUUGACAGACCCCGUGGUUCCCAGUUGGAUUACAUUAACUUGCUGUUGACCUAUUUGCAUUUCAGCAACUAGAUCCUCCCUUCCUAAUAAUUCAGCUGCAUUAAUUUUUCCAUAUUCGGGGUAGUGAGUAUUCUCUCUCUAACCUCAGUAUUUGGGGUUUGUGAAAUAAGAUAUUCAUAUUAAAACCACCAAGAAUUUGUGGUUACAUGGCUUUCAGUAUACCAGGAAUGGAGCUCACAUUUUUCAUGUAUCUCUGCCCAUGUUGUUUGUAUACCUCUACUUGGUCAUGUCUAAAAUAAAUUUUCUGAAAUCUAGGUAUUCAUCAUAGACCAUAAAGC
rnacentral:lncRNA from 1 species